rnacentral:rRNA from 1 species
GUGGCAGGCGUGGUCUAUACUGCAGUCGAGCGCCCCGCGGGGGAGCGGCACACGGGUGAGUAACGCGUGGGAAUCUACCCAUCUCUACCGAACAGCUCCGGGAAACUGGAUCUAAUACCGUAUACGUCCUUUUGGAGAAAGAUUUAUCUUACAUGGAUGAGCCCGCGUUGGAUUAGCUAGUUGGUGGGGUAAUGGCCUACCCCCGCGACGAUCCAUAGCUGGUCUGAGAGGAUGAUCAGCCACAUUGGGACUGAGACACCGCCCAAACUCCUACGGGAGGCACCAUUGGGGAAUAUUGGACAAUGGGCGCCAGCCUGAUCCAGCCAUGCCGCAUGAUUGAUGAAGGCCCUAAGGUUGUAAAGCUCUUUCCACGGUGAAGAUAAUGACGGUAACCGUAGAAAAAUCCCCGGCUAACUUCGUGCCAGCAGCCGCGGUAAUACCAAGGGGGCUAGCGUUGUUCAGAAUUACUGGGCGUAAAGCGCACGUACGCGGAUAUUUAAGUCACGGGUGAAAUCCCGGGGCUCAACCCCGGAACUGCCUUUGAUACUGGGUAUCUCGAGUCCGAGAAGGUGAGUGGAAUUCCGAGUGUAGAGGUGAAAUUCGUUGAUAUUCGGAGGAACCCAUUGGCGAAAGCGGCUCACUGGCUCGGUACUGACGCUGAAGUGCGAAAGCGUGGGGAGCAAACAGGAUUAGAUACCCUGGUAGUCCACUC